CUGUAGGUACCCCGCGGAA
rnacentral:sRNA from 1 species